GGCAGUGUAGCUGGGCUGGUAGAGUGCUUGCCUAGCAUGCAGGAGGCCCUGGGAUAGAUUCCCUGCACCCG
rnacentral:tRNA from 1 species